GAUGAACGCUGGCGGCGUGCCUAAUACAUGCAAGUCGAGCGAACAGAUGAGGAGCUUGCUCCUCUGACGUUAGCGGCGGACGGGUGAGUAACACGUGGAUAACCUACCUAUAAGACUGGGAUAACUUCGGGAAACCGGAGCUAAUACCGGAUAAUAUAUUGAACCGCAUGGUUCAAUAGUGAAAGACGGUUUUGCUGUCACUUAUAGAUGGAUCCGCGCCGCAUUAGCUAGUUGGUAAGGUAACGGCUUACCAAGGCGACGAUGCGUAGCCGACCUGAGAGGGUGAUCGGCCACACUGGAACUGAGACACGGUCCAGACUCCUACGGGAGGCAGCAGUAGGGAAUCUUCCGCAAUGGGCGAAAGCCUGACGGAGCAACGCCGCGUGAGUGAUGAAGGUCUUCGGAUCGAAAAACUCUGUUAUUAGGGAAGAACAAAUGUGUAAGUAACUAUGCACGUCUUGACGGUACCUAAUCAGAAAGCCACGGCUAACUACGUG
rnacentral:rRNA from 1 species